rnacentral:rRNA from 1 species
GUGCCAGCAGCCGCGGUAAGACAGAGGGUGCAAACGUUGUUCGGAAUUACUGGGCGUAAAGCGUGUGUAGGCGGCCAUGCAAGUCGGAUGUGAAAGCCCUGGGCUCAACCCAGGAAGUGCACUCGAAACUGCGUGGCUUGAGUACUGGAGAGGUUGGUGGAAUUCUCGGUGUAGAGGUGAAAUUCGUAGAUAUCGAGAGGAACACCGGUGGCGAAGGCGGCCAACUGGACAGAUACUGACGCUGAGACACGAAAGCGUGGGGAGCAAACAGGAUUAGAAACCCUGGUAGUCC